UACAGGGGGUGCAAACGUUGCUCGGAAUUAUUGGGCGUAAAGCGCGCGUAGGCGGCCACCUAAGUCGGAUGUGAAAGCCCCUGGCUUAACCGGGGAAGUGCACCCGAAACUGGGUAGCUAGAGUGCAAAAGAGGGUCGCGGAAUUCCCAGUGUAGAGGUGAAAAUUCGUAGAUAUUGGGAGGAACACCGGUGGCGAAGGCGGCCAUCUGGACCGGAACUGACGCUGAGGCGCGACAGCGUGGGGAGCAAACAGG
rnacentral:rRNA from 1 species